rnacentral:tRNA from 1 species
GCGGAUGUAGUUCAGUUGGUUAGAGCACUGGAUUGUGAUUCCAGACGUCGCGGGUUCGAGUCCCGUCAUCCGCCCCA